CCCCUACGGGAGGCAGCAGUGGGGAAUUUUGGACAAUGGGCGCAAGCCUGAUCCAGCCAUGCCGCGUGUCUGAAGAAGGCCUUCGGGUUGUAAAGUUCUUUCGGUAUUGAGGAAGGAGUGUAUGUUAAUAGCAUACAUUAUUGACGUUAAAUACAGAAGAAGCACCGGCUAACUCCGUGCCAGCAGCAGCCGCGGUAAUGGGG
rnacentral:rRNA from 1 species